CCAAUAGCGUAUAUUAAAGUUGUUGCAGUUAAAAAGCUCGUAGUUGAAUUUCGGGAUCAAGGAAUCGGUCAUGCCUCGGUAUGUACUGGUUUUAUUGGUUCUCACCUUCUAAAGAACCAUAAUGUCAUUUAUUUGAUGUUAUGGGGAAUUAGGACUGUUACCUUGAAAAAAUUAGAGUGUUUAAAGCAAGCUCACGCUUGAAUACAUUAGCAUGGAAUAAUGAAAUAGGACAUCCGAUUCUAUUUUGUUGGUUUCUAGGAUCGAUGUAAUGAUUAAUAAGGAUAGUUGGUGGCAUUAGUAUUCAAUUGUCAGAUGUGAAAUUCUUGGAUUUAUUGAAGACUAACUACUGCGAAAGCAUUUGCCAAGGAUGUUUUCAUUAAUCAAGAACAAAAGUUAGGGGAUCGAAGACGAUCAGAUACCGUCGUAGUCUUAACCAUAAACUAUGCCGACUAGGGAUCGGAUGAUGUUUAUUUUUUAGUGACUCAUUCGGCACCUUACG
rnacentral:rRNA from 1 species